UACGUAGGAGGCGAGCGUUGUCCGGAGUUACUGGGCGUAAAGCGUGCGUAGGUGGUUUGUUAAGUCUGUUGUGAAAGCCCCGGGCUCAACCUGGGAAUGGCAAUGGAUACUGGCAAGCUAGAGUGCGGUAGAGGGUAGUGGAAUUCCCGGUGUAGCGGUGAAAUGCGUAGAGAUCGGGAGGAACACCAGUGGCGAAGGCGGCUACCUGGACCAGCACUGACACUGAGGCACGAAAGCGUGGGGAGCAAACAGG
rnacentral:rRNA from 1 species